rnacentral:tRNA from 1 species
CGGGCUGUAGUACAGUGGUAGUAUACACGAUUCGGGUUCGUGAGAUUCGAGUUCGAUUCUCGGCAGCCCGA